CCCAAAUGACUUAAUGCACGUUUUGUUACGUUCAUCAAUCGCUCUCUCAGACUCUCACGAAGCACAAACCCCCAAAUCCCCUUAUCUCUGUUCUCGCCGCCGGCCGCCGCGCCUCUGGUGACUGGAUUCUGGAAAUCGCCACCGUUCGUCGCAUUGCGCGGAGCUAUUUCUUCGCCGCGCCGCCCCUGGUUGCUGCAACUCGCCGCCGCCCUCAUCGCCUCUGGUGAUUUUCGUCACCGCACCACCACCUUUUCUGGUCUCUGAAACUUUGUUUUUUCUGGGUUUGGUCUUUAUAAGAAAGAAGUAUGCCUCAUAGAACCCGACCCAUGACUGCACUCUUGUUGUUCACCGCACUAAAUGCAGUUUUAUGUGCAACCAUUACUCCAGUCUAUGAUUUUGUUUGCUUUCAUCCGUAUUGGGAAAGAAGGAGGGAAAGGCGUCGCCAGCAACGUGAAGCUACUAUAGCUAACAGUUCAACAUAGCCAUUUGGAGAACCUUUUUGAACAAUGGUUUUUAUUGCCCUUUCCUUUCCUUCAUGAUGUAAAUAACCAUAAGUAUCUUGGAAUGAAAAUCUCAAAACUUGGACCUACUUGGCUGUUGUCGUUGGACAUUUUUAUGGGUUACUAUCAUAUUUGUUUAUUGAGGUUUAAAACCAAAUAUUCAACCGUUUCAAAUUUAGAUACAUUUCUUUUUAUUUCUUUA